UCUAAUAUGGCAGAUAAGUGCGAUAGAUUUAAGCUCUAUAAAUAAAGGAUUAAGAUUCUUUUAUUAGAA
rnacentral:tRNA from 1 species